rnacentral:rRNA from 1 species
AGCCCAGAGCCUGAAUCAGUGUGUGUGUUAGUGGAAGCGUCUGGAAAGGCGCGCGAUACAGGGUGACAGCCCCGUACACAAAAAUGCACAUGCUGUGAGCUCGAUGAGUAGGGCGGGACACGUGGUAUCCUGUCUGAAUAUGGGGGGACCAUCCUCCAAGGCUAAAUACUCCUGACUGACCGAUAGUGAACCAGUACCGUGAGGGAAAGGCGAAAAGAACCCCGGCGAGGGGAGUGAAAAAGAACCUGAAACCGUGUACGUACAAGCAGUGGGAGCACGCUUAGGCGUGUGACUGCGUACCUUUUGUAUAAUGGGUCAGCGACUUAUAUUCUGUAGCAAGGUUAACCGAAUAGGGGAGCCGAAGGGAAACCGAGUCUUAACUGGGCGUUAAGUUGCAGGGUAUAGACCCGAAACCCGGUGAUCUAGCCAUGGGCAGGUUGAAGGUUGGGUAACACUAACUGGAGGACCGAACCGACUAAUGUUGAAAAAUUAGCGGAUGACUUGUGGCUGGGGGUGAAAGGCCAAUCAAACCGGGAGAUAGCUGGUUCUCCCCGAAAGCUAUUUAGGUAGCGCCUCGUGAAUUCAUCUCCGGGGGUAGAGCACUGUUUCGGCAAGGGGGUCAUCCCGACUUACCAACCCGAUGCAAACUGCGAAUACCGGAGAAUGUUAUCACGGGAGACACACGGCGGGUGCUAACGUCCGUCGUGAAGAGGGAAACAACCCAGACCGCCAGCUAAGGUCCCAAAGUCAUGGUUAAGUGGGAAACGAUGUGGGAAGGCCCAGACAGCCAGGAUGUUGGCUUAGAAGCAGCCAUCAUUUAAAGAAAGCGUAAUAGCUCACUGGUCGAGUCGGCCUGCGCGGAAGAUGUAACGGGGCUAAACCAUGCACCGAAGCUGCGGCAGCGACACUAUGUGUUGUUGGGUAGGGGAGCGUUCUGUAAGCCUGUGAAGGUGUACUGUGAGGUAUGCUGGAGGUAUCAGAAGUGCGAAUGCUGACAUAAGUAACGAUAAAGCGGGUGAAAAGCCCGCUCGCCGGAAGACCAAGGGUUCCUGUCCAACGUUAAUCGGGGCAGGGUGAGUCGACCCCUAAGGCGAGGCCGAAAGGCGUAGUCGAUGGGAAACAGGUUAAUAUUCCUGUACUUGGUGUUACUGCGAAGGGGGGACGGAGAAGGCUAUGUUGGCCGGGCGACGGUUGUCCCGGUUUAAGCGUGUAGGCUGGUUUUCCAGGCAAAUCCGGAAAAUCAAGGCUGAGGCGUGAUGACGAGGCACUACGGUGCUGAAGCAACAAAUGCCCUGCUUCCAGGAAAAGCCUCUAAGCAUCAGGUAACAUCAAAUCGUACCCCAAACCGACACAGGUGGUCAGGUAGAGAAUACCAAGGCGCUUGAGAGAACUCGGGUGAAGGAACUAGGCAAAAUGGUGCCGUAACUUCGGGAGAAGGCACGCUGAUAUGUAGGUGAAGUCCCUCGCGGAUGGAGCUGAAAUCAGUCGAAGAUACCAGCUGGCUGCAACUGUUUAUUAAAAACACAGCACUGUGCAAACACGAAAGUGGACGUAUACGGUGUGACGCCUGCCCGGUGCCGGAAGGUUAAUUGAUGGGGUCAGCGCAAGCGAAGCUCUUGAUCGAAGCCCCGGUAAACGGCGGCCGUAACUAUAACGGUCCUAAGGUAGCGAAAUUCCUUGUCGGGUAAGUUCCGACCUGCACGAAUGGCGUAAUGAUGGCCAGGCUGUCUCCACCCGAGACUCAGUGAAAUUGAACUCGCUGUGAAGAUGCAGUGUACCCGCGGCAAGACGGAAAGACCCCGUGAACCUUUACUAUAGCUUGACACUGAACAUUGAGCCUUGAUGUGUAGGAUAGGUGGGAGGCUUUGAAGUGUGGACGCCAGUCUGCAUGGAGCCGACCUUGAAAUACCACCCUUUAAUGUUUGAUGUUCUAACGUUGACCCGUAAUCCGGGUUGCGGACAGUGUCUGGUGGGUAGUUUGACUGGGGCGGUCUCCUCCUAAAGAGUAACGGAGGAGCACGAAGGUUGGCUAAUCCUGGUCGGACAUCAGGAGGUUAGUGCAAUGGCAUAAGCCAGCUUGACUGCGAGCGUGACGGCGCGAGCAGGUGCGAAAGCAGGUCAUAGUGAUCCGGUGGUUCUGAAUGGAAGGGCCAUCGCUCAACGGAUAAAAGGUACUCCGGGGAUAACAGGCUGAUACCGCCCAAGAGUUCAUAUCGACGGCGGUGUUUGGCACCUCGAUGUCGGCUCAUCACAUCCUGGGGCUGAAGUAGGUCCCAAGGGUAUGGCUGUUCGCCAUUUAAAGUGGUACGCGAGCUGGGUUUAGAACGUCGUGAGACAGUUCGGUCCCUAUCUGCCGUGGGCGCUGGAGAACUGAGGGGGGCUGCUCCUAGUACGAGAGGACCGGAGUGGACGCAUCACUGGUGUUCGGGUUGUCAUGCCAAUGGCACUGCCCGGUAGCUAAAUGCGGAAGAGAUAAGUGCUGAAAGCAUCUAAGCACGAAACUUGCCCCGAGAUGAGUUCUCCCUGACUCCUUGAGAGUCCUGAAGGAACGUUGAAGACGACGACGUUGAUAGGCCGGGUGUGUAAGCGCAGCGAUGCGUUGAGCUAACCGGUACUAAUGAACCGUGAGGCUUAACCUU